rnacentral:ncRNA from 1 species
UUUCUUCAGGGCAGGGUGUAAAUCCCUACCGGCGGUGAUAGUCCGCGACUCCCUUAUGGGGACUGAAUCGGUGAAAUUCCGAUACCGACGGUGACAGUCCGGAUGGUAGAAGAA